rnacentral:miRNA from 14 species
UGUGGGUGUGUGUGUGUGUGUGUGUGUGUGUGUGUGUUGACGGUGCAUAACUUAAUUCCACAGGGAAGCCAAGGCAACAGCCUCUGUUUCCUGUCCUAAUUGCUUAAAAUCCUACACAAAUAAGCCUACACACACACACACACACACACACACAUGCACACA